rnacentral:lncRNA from 1 species
CAGCUGAAGGCCUAGAGUCCAAGGCAGUGUCCUCCACGAGUCCAGCCAGUGGCCCAGAGCCCACGGCAAGGUCUCAUGCUUGUGUGUAUUGAGGAUCUGCACCUGAAGGCCCAAAGGCCAGUGGUGGAAGACAGAAAACCUCCACCGGUGAGAUGAUUUGUGCCACCAGGCUGAGGGAUCCAUGCCGGAGCCAGAAAGUGAGGCUCACAGUGAAGAUCAGAGCUCCCCUGACCAGAACAGCAGCCACCCAAGCUCCUCCUCUGAUGAGAACACCCAGCUCCCAUCAGGAAAAUCAGCCUCAGCAAGCUUCUCCUAGAAAUCAACAGCCCUGAUCUUCCCCUCUAGUCCUCUUUUUAUGCCGUUGGCAACAGUCCUAAGGUCUCUGUAGGAACUGUCCCCAGUGAGGAAAAAUUGCAAAGUAGGAAACCAGACACCACGCCGUCACGUGCCGUGAAGCCAGUCAGCAUCUCUCCUCAUCCAGCAUGGAGCUGUACGUCUGACCUGGCAGACGGGGCUCAGGCAAGGGUCUUGAAGCCAAGCAGAGCAGAUACAGGAAACGAGAGGAGAGGCGAGGGAAGAGAGCUGUGCAUUCUGACACCCCGACAACAGUUUCUGCUACUGUGUCCCCUGCAGUUGGCGACAACUGGGACGCCUCUGUCUCCUGGUGUGGGCACUGUCUUCAGCACCACAUCGAAUGCUUAGCCCUGCCAGGGUAACGCCCUCACUCCACAGUAGAGAAGGCUGGCGCCAGAGUGGGUCAGCGGAGUGCUCAGUGGCAUGGUGGUCCAUGUGCCAACCAGCUGCCCACGGUGCCACGUGGGUUCCUGAGCUGGGGCUCAGCGGGUCCUGGAGCUGUGAUCACGGGCUGUAUUCCUUUCAGGAAAGGGCUUUCCGAAGGGUGUGGUCUGGAACCCGACCUUCUCUGAGUCCUGUCUGCGGAUGGCUGGGAAGGCAGGGUGGGGUGGGUCCACUCAAACUUUGUCACAGAUGUCGCCUGCCUGCCUGCAAGUGCCUUUGUCUGGAGAAAAGAUUAUUAAAGAGCUUUAAAUUCCCCACAGAACACAGCGAGAUGUGUGUGAGAUGCACAUGGCCCUGCGGUUGUUUGUCUCAUGUAUCUUUAACUGUAUUUGGUUAUUUUUGUUGUUACAAUCAAG